AGAGCUGCCAAACAAAAGGAGAAGAGGGUUAGAGCUGGCUUGUCAAGACUUGUGGCAGAAAUGGCUGCACAUUAGAAAUGCUGGACUCUUUCCCCAGGGAUCAUGGGGUUAAGCCAGAAAAAGUAAAAAGUAACACUGAGAGAGAAUGAGGACGUACCACAGAAGGACAACUUGGUGCUGGUGCAUGGAGAGGGCUGACUAACUGGAGGCCCUACAGAUCCAACCAUAGGUGAGCUUGCUCUUUGCACUGAGACACAUGACCACUGACCACAGAAACGGCAGACCUCUGGAUGGGCAGCUCUGAGCCCAGGGCUCAGCAUAUGUAGCUGAAUGAGACUUGAAGCUCAGUGCUGUAAGGCCUCCUAGAACAUCUUCCUGGAACUAAGCAGUGAUACCUACAUCAGCUGGAGACAUUCCAGAAGGGUUUACAAGUUGGGAAACAAGGCAUGAUGGGGCAUCCCUUCAAUCCCAGCAACUAGGGAGACAGAAGCAGAUGAAUCUGAGUUGGAGGCCAGAACUCAGGCUGGUCUGUAAAGAGUAAACGUAUCUCAACAUCCUCUCCCCCCAGAUCACUGGAAGACAAAUUUGGCAAAGUUGUACAAACACAAAUAGAAAAGUGAGUCUAUCACCAAGAGCAUAUUCUACCUUUGGGGGAGCAGAGCCAAGCAUCCAGGACUGCUGAGGAAUGAGAUAUGACUCAGGAAGAGUCUCUAAGGACACUGAGCACUGCCAAGAGGAGUGCUGCCAGCAGCCAUCCUACCGUGAAGUGGUCGUGCCCAGCAUGCCACUGGACACCAAGCAACCAAACUACAAAGUCCGGAGGUGUUACCGUUGCCUCCCUCCUCCUACAUUUUUUCUCUUUAGCUGCCUGUGCAUCCAGAUAUAAAACCCUCAGCUCCCUCUCCAGCAUCAUGUCUGUCUGCAUGUGAAACUGCCUGCCCCCAUGUUUCCUACCUUAACGAUGAUGGACUGUAAACCAGACCCAAUUAAAUGUUUUCCUUUAUAAGAGUCGCCAUGGACAUGGUAUCUGUUCACAGCAACAGAAACCCUAACACAACCCUGGAGCUAGAGUUACAGAAAGUUGUAAGCUGUCCUGUAUGGGGGCUGAGAAUAAAACCCUGAUCCCCUGCAAAAACAGAAAGUGCUCUUCCCAGCUUCUUUAUUUUGGUUUUGAGAGCUGACUGGGAAUUCACUAUGAAGCUCAGGAUGGCAUCAAACUUGUGAUCCUCCUGCCUUUGCUGGGAUGGUGGGUGCCCACCACCUGCUGGCUACUGUGCAUUUAUGUAAGAAGGGACUUGAUUAGGUAAUGGUACUGGAUCCACUCUCUCACAGACAUGGGUGAAUGGCUGUCAUUUACUUACUAUUUGUUUAGAGAUGGUUUAUUUUUAUGUGGCCCAGA